AGCUUUGUGCAGUGGCAGUAUCGUAGCCAAUGAGGUUUAUCCGAGGUGCGAUUAUUGCUAAUUGAAAACUUUUCCCAAUACCCUGUCGUGAUGACUUGCAAUGUAGUCGGCACUGGCAAUUUUUGACAGUCUCUAUGGAGA
ensembl:snRNA U4 U4 spliceosomal RNA